GAGCGGCAGACGGGAGAGUAACACGUGGGAACGUACCCUUCGGUUCGGAAUAACCCAGGGAAACUUGGGCUAAUACCGGAUACGUCAGGAGAAAGAUUUAUUGCCGAAGGAUCGGCCCGCGUCCGAUUAGCUAGUUGGUGGGGUAACGGCCCACCAAGGCGACGAUCGGUAGCUGGUCUGAGAGGAUGAUCAGCCUCACUGGGACUGAGACACGGCCCAGACUCCUACGGGAGGCAGCAGUGGGGAAUAUUGGACAAUGGGCGCAAGCCUGAUCCAGCCAUGCCGCGUGGGUGAUGAAGGCCUUAGGGUUGUAAAGCCCUUUCGGCGGGGAAGAUAAUGACGGUACCCGCAGAAGAAGCCCCGGCUAACUUCGUGCCAGCAGCCGCGGUAAUACGAAGGGGGCUAGCGUUGUUCGGAAUCACUGGGCGUAAAGCGCACGUAGGCGGACUUUUAAGUCAGAGGUGAAAUCCUGAGGCUCAACCUCAGAACUGCCUUUGAUACUGGGAGUCUCGAGUUCGGGAGAGGUGAGUGGAACUGCGAGUGUAGAGGUGAAAUUCGUAGAUAUUCGCAAGAACACCAGUGGCGAAGGCGGCUCACUGGCCCGAUAC
rnacentral:rRNA from 1 species